UAGAUAACUUGAAGUUUUACUUAAUUAAAACUUGCCAACUGUGUGCGUAACCGUGACUGUCUCUUUCGUGAGUUCCUUCUCCGAUCGAGGACACGGUGGGAUUAUGUCUGAAGUAGGAAGGUGUUCAGGAUCAUUGAUUUGAUCAUCAGUAGUCACGUCCGCUAUGCGUAGAUCUUCCCCCUCUUAUAUCUUGUACUCGUAAGUUUAGCCACCAAAUAUAUGGUUACCCGCUGCUGCAACCUCACCACUUAACCAUGCCUCA
rnacentral:lncRNA from 1 species